ACGCUCGACACCUACGGGGGGCAGCAGUGAGGAAUAUUGGUCAAUGGGCGCUAGCCUGAACCAGCCAAGUAGCGUGAAGGAUGAAGGCUCUAUGGGUCGUAAACUUCUUUUAUAUAAGAAUAAAGUGCAGUAUGUAUACUGUUUUGUAUGUAUUAUAUGAAUAAGGAUCGGCUAACUCCGUGCAAGCAGCCGCGGUAAUCUGAGCGGGCUGGCAAGGC
rnacentral:rRNA from 1 species